AUUUUGCUGUCAGCUUUUCAUCAGGCAGAUGGCAAAGACUUUGCCGUCAGCGAAUCCUAGUAACAGAUGGCAAAGUAACAUCUUUGCCGUCAGCCGAAGCACAAUCUUUGCUAUCACCAAACUACUUUAGAGACAGCAAAGAUUUUUUUAUUCUAAAAAAUUCACAAAACACCUAAACAGUAAAACAUUUUCCAUGGCAUUCUUUACAGCUCAAUUUACACAGCAAAUCAACUAUAGUCAGUUUGCAGGACGCUCGGCCAUCAAAAUUUGGUAGCUACAAUAUUUUUUAUAGAUCAAUUUACAGAACUCAACAUCAACAAUUCAUAAUCGAUUUACAUAUUGAUGCUACAGAGAAACGGGCUCCGGAAUCGUCCUACAGACAAAGACCGCACGACAGCCGUGUGGGCCUUGUAGCCGCUCGGCGUCCUGCACCCGAUGGGGUGAGCGGCAGCGGCCCUCCGCAUCCGGCGCUGCUCCCUGCGACAGCCGUUGCGGUGGCGGACGGUGGCGCGGGCGGAGGCAGGCUUCGGCCGUCGAACGGGGAGGGCAGAGGCGGGCACACGCGGGCGGAGACCAGAGGCGCGCGGUGGCACGCAUGCAGAGGCGGGAGGCACGCGGUGGCGGGCGCGUGUGGACGGAGGCGGAAGGCGCCCGGUGGCGCGGGCGGAGGGGGACGAGGUGAUGGGACUGGAGCCCAUGGCGACGGGUGACAGGGCCGGCGAGGGGGACGAGGCCGGGACCGGCGGAGGACUGCGGGGACGACGAGCGACUGGCGCCGAGGCCAGUGAAUGGCUGCGGGGGCGCGGGGACCGUGGCCGGCAGAGGCCUGCAGGGGCGCCAGGGUGCGGGAGCAAGGCCGGGGGCCGGGGGCGAAGGGGAAGGGGCAGCGGCUGACGGUCGAAGUCGAGGCACCGGCGCCGGUGUGCUCUGGAUCUGGAGCUCCACUCCCAAUUGAGGAGGAUGAGCGGUAGGAGCAAGGGAGAGAAAGAGAUAGGAGAGACCGAGAGAGAUCGUGUGGGGGUGGGACGGUG
rnacentral:rRNA from 1 species